CCUGCUGCGUCCCAAGGACGGCUGCCCCCUUCAUCCUCGCUUCUGAAAUGCUCCUUUGCCCAUGGCUACGUUCCCCUGUCCCCAGAGCCACCUCUCAUGGAUCCCGCAUCCCUAAUUCUCAGUAGUACCACUGCUUCCCCAAAUCCCACUUUGCUGCAGCAGGUCUGGGCAAUCCCCAGCAUGUGGUCACACCUUUGCUAGGUCCCUUUUCCAAACUCCAUACUCUUCUGUGCCUUCUUUGCAGAUGCCAUGGAUCUGCCCCGGCAAGACCUUCCCCCACUAUGCUUUUGAAUAACGUUGCUUUUGUAUGGCGAUGUUUGCCUUCAUCCCCACUUCUGCACAUCCCUCUGCUGCUGCUGUUGUAUUCCCAAGCUUGGAGGCUUGCGAGGUAUUGUACCGAAACAUACACGUUUUGUCAUUUCUUCCUGGACAUCUGUGUUUUGGGCAGCCAACGCUGGGCUACAGGAUGGACGGGUGUCUGUUCUGACUGAGCUCUGACGUGCUUAUUGCUUUAUGGUCACGCUCCCAGCUCUGCAGGAAUGCCUUUUUACUCAAACUGUAUUUUCUAGCACCACCCUGUGAAGAGGAGCGGUGUUGUUUUGCAGUCACGAAGUCCAAGUUCACACACUUCAGUUCUGAUGUUUCUUCUGUCAUGUAGGGUUUCUGGUCUCUGCAGCGGGACCGGUGCCCCGAAGGCAUUUCUGUGUGUGUUAACUGCCACCUGCAAAGGGCUGUUGCUGAGCUGAUGCUACUGGAAGAAUGUUGCCACGAAAUCCAUCUGAAGGCAACAGCUCUCUGGCAUAGGAAGUGUUACUGGUGGGAGGUGUGUUAGAUCUGACUAUUAACUCUUGCCUAUUUACCCCAAAGCAACUUGAUGGUUUUUUUUAAUCUCUUAAGUAUGGGAUAAUUCCCACUAAUUUCUUGUCUGUGCUUUAGCUAAGUGUCUCUAGAAAUGCUUGUAGGGAACCAGUUGGGUGGCUCUGUAAGUUCUGUGAUUGCGCUAAAAGUGGGGAUCAAACAAUUCCCUUCUUACAUAGGAGAUGGUCUUCAGCUACCCUGGCUCGCCCAGUGAUACUUCUAAAUUUGUAUUUAAAGUAGUAAAUGUUGCAAAUUUUACACCCCUCCACAAUUCCCUGCAAGAUCCCCUUAGGAUAGAAAGGAGAGUGGAGCUGGUGCUGAGGUUACUGACAGCACCUCACCUGCACUGAGGAGCAAACCGAGGAUUAAAGAUGGGCUUGUGCCUGUGUUAGUCACCUGCCCAGCUGCUCCAGCUCCCUCAGCCUCUCUGUUUGGCCUGACUUUGGUUUGCAGGCACAGAACUGUGUGAAUAAGGUCACAAAAUGCUCACGUUCAUUUCACUGGGUAAAGGAAGGAUUGGAAACUGCAUCGGUGGGUGAAGAUGUUAAUACCUGUUCCAGGUCGGGUCUCCACCCCCAGCUGUCUUACAGCUUAAAUCUUAUGAUGAUUAUGAGGAUAGCUACCUUUGUAUAGAAUACUCUGUGCAUUUGUUGUUACUCAGUAGUAAUAAUGUUUCAUGAACAUAGGGGAGGAAUGAAGUCUGCGCCGCAGCUGUUGUUGGUGAAUCCAUUAUCCUGCCUUCCUUCCCAGCACUUCACCUACGGGAUGAAAAGCCUUGUACUGUUAAGUUUGGGUGCUGGAAACGCAACGGAACAAGAUGUGUGCAGUGAAUCCCAGAUGCGCCCUCUGAAGUCCCACUGAACCACAUGAGUUCUGGAGUUUCUUAGGCUGUAAAAACUUUGCUUCUCUACGGACCCGGAAUCUGUGUUAUCUAGGUUAAGCUGACUUUCUUAGCCACUGUCUGCUGCAUUAACCCAACUGGGAAUCACAAAAUAGUCAGUGAGAAGAGAGAACAAGAGACACCUGCAGAGAAUGAUUCAUUCUGUGCCUGUUCGACACCGCUCUGGAUGGAACAAGUCUCCUUGCUGGGUGUUGUCUCUCCCCAUCAAUUCUCAGCAGAAGCUAGACAACCAGUUCUGACCAGAAGCCUGACUUACGGGUGCCACGUGAGAUGAAUUGUACCACAGAUGACUAAUUUUUCUCAUUCAUCAUACCUGCUUUUGGCCUAUAGAAGUUGGGUCAUCAAGGAAGAUAUUGAAGAGGACAGGCCCCAGUACCGACCCCUGAGGAACACCACUCGUGAUCAGUCGCCAGCUGGAUUUAACUCCAUUCACCACCACUCUGUGGGCUCAGCCCUCCAGCCAGUGCUUUACUCAGCAAAGAGUGUAUCUGACCAAGCCAUGAGAUGCCAGCUUCUCCAGGAGAAUACUGUGGGAGACAGUGUCAAAGGCUUUGCUGAAGCCUCGGUAGACUGUAUUGACAUGCAUAAUAUAAUCACAGAAUCACCAAGGUUGGAAAAGACCUCCAAGAUCAUCUGUUCCAACCAUCCCUCUACCACCAGUAUUUCCUGACUAACCCAUACAGAUGGACUAUGCCAGAGUUGGUUCUCAGACUUUCUAGACAACUAAAAACUAUGUUUUUCUUUGUUUUAUGUUUUUCUGUGGGAGUUGACACAUUUUAGGUAAAAUACUUGAAACAGAGAGAAAAUGAGCAGUGAUUAACGCACUUUCACCAAGAACGUAUUCUUGUUAUGGUCUUGUGGAGUACUGGAGAUUUACAGAGCACAAUGUGUAACCUCUAGGCCAAAUGCUCGUAGUUGUAAGCUUUAUGCAUUUCUGAGCCAUAGUUCAGCCUGUUGUUGGAUGUGGUAAUCUUUGAUUAUGGGACUGCUUAUUCAUUUGCUGAAAAGAUGUGACUUAUGUAGUUGAGAGAGACUGUCUUCAGUGGAAGCCUUGCCUCAGUUAUUGUAAGAAGAGGCAAGAUACACCCAUAAAACUGCUGAAUUCUGCUGUGGAGGAAUUAAUUCAAUCCAUGUGUCUGCCACAAUGUUUUUUUUGUGAGAUGAUAGUGAUGGACAAGUCACUUCAAGCAGAAUUUGGUCAGGAGACUGUUUAGCACAUGGGAAGUCAGUGGGAGUUGUUCUUAAAUAUCUUAAGUGUAAUGAAAAUGCCAAGCACUAUGAAGUAACAGGUCCAAGCUAUCACAAGCUUGGCAGCCAGAACUGGAGUUAUUAACCAGUAUGUUUUCUGGUCAGCUGCUUCACAAAUAACCAUUGUCUUAAAGUUAACAGAUUAUCAUUUUUUCCUUGAAAAGUGAAUGCCCCUUUUGAGGGUAGGACAGAGUAUAUUCUAGUGAGUGGUUCAUGAGUUGACAGAUGCUUAUUGUAAUAAGUGACAUCCCAAUUUCCAGUCAGCUUUUUGGAGACUGCAGAUGGAUUUUAGCUCCUGGUCUCCAACCAGGAGCUCACAGUUGGUGCAGAGCUGGUGAGGUGACCGCCAGGAACCAAGUGAAGCCGGCAGAGAGUGAGAGAAGAAAGAUAACACCGGCUUGGUUGGAUGGGGCUGGAGGACCAGGGAAGGUACCAAUCACAGCUGAGUGAGGCCUUGGAGCCUGAAGAAGGAGGUCUAAAGAUUAAAGGGGAACAGGAGAGAAGGAAAAUUCAAGAUUCAUAUCCCUUACCAUUUCUUCUUCUUCUUCUUUUUAAAUUUUCAUUUGAAAUUAAGAACUAAAAUAAGGAACAAUGCUCAGAAAGUGAAUGCUUCUGGAGACAUUUCUUGUGUGUCUGUGCCCUUUUAUAGGUACAACAACGUAUGGUGCUUUUCACCCUAAAUCUCCUGACUUCUGGGACACAAGCUCGAGAUUGAUGCCAUGAGGUCUAUAUUAACCAUCACAUAAGUGGAAGUCUCUGGAAGAGACUCCAGAGCUGGUAGUUUGGGGCGUUCAUCUGAAACACUGGGAAUUACCAGUUGUGGUGUGAACUAGAGAAAAACAGGCUACAAAGUGUUGGUCAUUGGCAGACCUUUUAAACAUCAGGUCACUUCUCUGAGAAUUUCCUCAGGAAAUGUUCAGAAUAUUCUUGGGUUUCUUCUGAACCAUGUCAGUAAGACAUCUGAAAUACUAACAAGUGCCACAAGGUGAGAAAAUCAUUCUUCCUGACCUGGAUCCAUUCAGUGCAGUUUGGGGUACAGGAUCUUUCCAUUACAACCAGCAUCACUUUGAAGUCAUAUCUGAUACAGAACUUCUGAAUAGUUGCUGGUAUUUGACUGUGUUUGCAGAAAUUGUUUAGUACACGGUGACUGUGUUCUGCUUCAGUGUUUUUUUGUCUAUUUUUAUGUGAGCUUCUGCUCUGUUUCUGAUAGCGUUUGUAUAGAUUCUAUCAAGGAAAACAAAUGUCAUGGGGAAGUUUUAGGUAAUUUUUUUGCUGUCGGGGUGUUUUUUGUUUUUUUUUUUCCUUCUGUAAUGCAGAUGUUCCUAUUUUAAACCUGGUAAAGGCAUUUCCAUCUGAGACGGUGAUACUCUGCUUUGUACACAGAGCAGAGAGAACAGAAACACACCUUUCAAAUUGGCUCAGGGAGCAAUGUGCAGUAUACCAAUUGCUCUCUUUUCCACUGCUGUGGACAUUCCUCUGCAGGAUAAGCAGGCUGCCCAUGUGGUUGCACAGGAGUGGCUGUGCAAAUGACAUGAAACAGGCUGUAGAUACUCCUUUGGUGGAGACCCAGUAAUCUUGAUGUUUUACACACGUGGGGCCUGAUGAAGAGAUGGUAAAACCCAGGGAGACUUUCCCCAUCAGCCUCACAGCUUUGAAUUCAGUUUCAGGUGCAGUUGAGGAUGUAUAUGAAGUAUACAGCUGGGAUUUGGCUGGGAGAACACUUGCCUGUGAGAGUGGAGAGGGAAUUUUUUUCACUGCUCUGGGGUGGUGAGUGAAUUUUAUCUAACACCUUCCACUUGCCUGUAGCCACGUUCAUAGAGCCAUAGAAUGUUCUAUACUGAUUCUGCCCCCAGACUGUAAAGAACAAGAUAAUAACUUUAUUUUAUGUACUGGAGAGCUAAAUUGUUUUCAAAGUCUUAGUUUAGCAGGCAAAGAUGAAUUUAUUUGCCAAAGACGUUCAGAAGCAGCUUGGGAAACUCUGCCAGAGCCCAGCUUUAACCACUAACUGGUGGCUGUUGUACUUAAUAGCUGUCAGGCAUGCUUGCAGUGUGAGGGAGACUGGCACAAAAUCCAGGAUAUAGGGGAUUUUCCUCCAAACAACAGCAAGUGCAAUCAAUUCACAAAUCGUAUAGUUGAAUAAGAAGAAAACCUGCAUCUGCAGCCACUUGCAUGUUGCAUCCCUUACUGGCUCUGCUCCCGUACCUGGGACGAGAAACAACCUUGCUCUUGUUUCACACUCUUUAUCCGUUCUAUCCAGCUCUAUUAACUUAGCGCACUGCUGAACAUUACCUUUGCUCUGCUUGCACUGCUGGCCUUUGCCAUCCUUUUCCCACCUAGAUAUCUUCGUGCUUUCCUGCAUCCUAACCUCCAUGUGUGGAACAAAGUCUGGAAAAUUCUCUCCAUCUGCUCUUCUUCAGAUCAUUCUGGCAGAUGCACUUCGACCCUGAUGCCUGUGGGGCACUGCUGAUAAUGGCCAGAGUGCAAGUUACAUUGUUUUCUAGCCAGCCAAUGUGAAAACACGUUCGUGUUAUUUCUACUGUGGUUUUCAUAUCAACCCCUUUCCUGCCAGGGAGGACAAAGCCAUAAUGCCUUUUUAGUAAUGGCCAACUGUCUUUGGAAGCUGACACAGAUAAGAGCGGCUCUCAGCCCACAAGUUGUUACCUUCCUUCUCCUCGAGUCACAGCUCCACCAGUUUGCUUUUAGCCAUCGUAUUCAUUUUGUUCUCCUUGACUUCUGCCCAUCUGUGAAUGCAGCUCUCUGGCCUCACCAAGGGACUAUGUCAGCAUCCACCCUUUCAGAAUAUGUUAACAGGUCUUGGCUCCAACCAGCAAAGGUCGUUUUUUUGGGGGGUGGCUUUCUUGCAUACGCAGCCACGGAGCCCUUUACAGAGUGACAAAAAGACUUCCUUCCCAUUUGCUAUUACUCACCUAACUGUGUUUGGAAGGGGCGGGCAUCCUAGCUAAUCAGAGCUUCAGACAGGCAAUUCCUCAAAUUGUUUUAGGGUUUUUAAUUAAAACUGUAGGCUUCAGCACCACAUGGCAGAGAGCCAGAAGCAGUCAUCUGACAAUAGCCUUCACCAUCUACCAACAAUAAGGGAAUUCCUAAGUGUACGCUCGGGAGGCUUCUGAAAUGCUGUGAACGGCUGAGAUUGGUGUUUGCAAAGCACCCUGCAACAUUUGGCCUUGCAGGUCUGCCGAUUUUUACAUGAUAUAAACAAAACCCUAUAAUCUCCACCCAGCACAGAGAUACUGACUUGUGUUUAUACUGUCCAGAUCACAGAUGCUGAGCAUGAAUGCAUGAGCAGUCCUUUUGUAUGGUGUUUGACACUUUCUGUGGCUGUCUGCGCUGUUUUUUAAUAUACAGAAUCCCCGGUUCUCCACUGCCUUGCACCCUGUCUAUUCAUUCUCACCCCUGUGAAGUGAGGGUAAAACACUAUCAAAACAAAAUGGUACCACUUUGCAUGUUUUCCACUCAGUUUGUACAGGUGUAAAUGACUACAGAAAGAACAGGGCAGAGCAGAACCUGACCCGCAGUCUGUCUCUCCAUGCGUCAGGGGUCCUGAAGUGGGGUAUGACAGAACAAACACAAGCUGUUACCUUGCCAGUUUUGCUUUUUUGUUUGCUUUUUGGUGUUGUUGUUUAAAAUCAGGCAGCUUGCAGGGAUGACAGAUGCAAAAGUCGGGCAGUACUUGGUUCCUGUAGUCCUCACGUGACGUCUUCUCAUCGAGUAACGAAAGUGUUACCCGUGGCAGAGGUAGGUGGGCAUGAUUACUGGUAUGGGAGCAUGAUUGUCAAUGUGAGUAAGCUCUGAGUAGUUGAGCUGUUGCAGUUAGAGAGAAAAAUCCUCCUUGUUCUUUCUGUUGCUUGUUACGUUACCUUAGCUCUUAUAAACUAUUACAAAGGAGGCUGAACUCUCCAAGCUGGGUCCUGGAAAAGAGUGGCACUCAAUUUUUAGAUGUAGUCAUUACUCUUUUUGUCCUUGUAGCAGCAGAAGGCUAUACCCAUCCUAAGUCAUCUUAAAUCAUCUUCUGAUACUGCUUAACACAUCUCUGCAGGCACGCACUUGAACCUUCUUCCAAAAGAAACGGUGGCUCCUUUCUAUGCUCUCUACACAAAACCCAGCUCUCUGGCUCUUGCCCUACUUUCCUCAGCAGCGCACCAGACCGUCCAAGCCCAAGUCUCUGUUUUCACCCAGAGAGAGAAUUUACUUAUGACACAUAGAUAUCAUUAUCACUCCUUUGCUGGAUGUUUCCCAUAAAUACAGAUCCUGCCUAUUCCUAGGCCCUGGACUACCCUAAACUUUCUCUUUGUUUGUCUGAUUUUUUUACCUCCAGAAAUCCUGUCCGGUUACAACUGUCCAAAUCCUUCAGCUCACACCAUUACCUGCUGUAAGUGCUGCCUUGGGGCUGACCGCCUGCUCGUAAAGGAGCGGCGUACUGCCUUAGUGGUUCCAGCAGGUAGGAAGGAGAUGAAUCUUUGAGAAGGGCCUUGGCUCUGCAGUGCCUUGUGUAAUCGGUGGGUGAGCACUGCACUGUGCCCCAAUUCUGAUAAAACAUGAAGAUUUUGUAUAGUGCUGUUUUCAAAUGUUGUCUCUGGAAAGCAGGAUAAGAAAGCCAGCAGACUCGGUGGCUGCAAAAUAGAAGGCAAUGUAGAUAUAAUGUACUUUGUUAUUAACGCAAGGAAAAUGAUGUUGAAUUGCACCAUAAAUAUCCUUCCAAGAAAAAAAUAUAUCAAAGCUUUGUGUAGAUAAAUGCUGGCAGGAUCUGAAUUGAACAAAUAUUACAUAGUUCAGAGGCUGUUGUACAAUGUGGGAAGAAUGGGCAGAAGUUACGGUCCAGAACAGUAUUUUUUCUCAUCUACAAUUACAAUCUCAACCUUACCACUGCAUUAACAUAUGCACCCAUUUUUAGAAAUGAUGUGUAUUUUCGUGACUCAUUUGAGUGCUCUGUAACUAUUUGUAUGCAAAUGUGUCGCAUUAAACAUUCUCACAGUCACACACUUUCCCCUCCCAUUGGAGUGCAU
ensembl:lncRNA